CCUACGGGAGGCAGCAGUAGGGAAUAUUGCUCAAUGGGGGAAACCCUGAAGCAGCAACGCCGCGUGAAUGAUGAAGGUUUUCGGAUUGUAAACUCCUUUUGUUAGAGACGAUAAUCACGGUAUCUACCGAGUAAUCACCGGCUACCUCCGUCCCAGCAGCGGCCGUAAUACGGAGGGUGCAGGCGUUACUCGGCAUAACUGGGCGUAAGGAGGGCUUAGGCGGGAUAGUAAGUCAGUGGGGAAAUCCUAGGGCUUAACCAUAGAACUGCAUUUGACACUGUUAUUCUUGAGUGUAGGAGAGGUAAGUGGAAUUCUUGGUGUAGCGGUAGAAUCCGUAGAGAUCAAGAGGAAGAC
rnacentral:rRNA from 1 species